GACGAACGCUGGCGGCGUGCUUAACACAUGCAAUUCGAACGGAAAGGCCCUGCUUUUGUGGGGUGCUCGAGUGGCGAACGGGUGAGUAACACGUGAGUAACCUGCCCUUGACUUUGGGAUAACUUCAGGAAACUGGGGCUAAUACCGGAUAGGAGCUCCUGCUGCAUGGUGGGGGUUGGAAAGUUUCGGCGGUUGGGGAUGGACUCGCGGCUUAUCAGCUUGUUGGUGGGGUAGUGGCUUACCAAGGCUUUGACGGGUAGCCGGCCUGAGAGGGUGACCGGCCACAUUGGGACUGAGAUACGGCCCAGACUCCUACGGGAGGCAGCAGUGGGGAAUAUUGCACAAUGGGCGGAAGCCUGAUGCAGCAACGCCGCGUGCGGGAUGACGGCCUUCGGGUUGUAAACCGCUUUCGCCUGUGACGAAGCGUGAGUGACGGUAAUGGGUAAAGAAGCACCGGCUAACUACGUGCCAGCAGCCGCGGUGAUACGUAGGGUGCGAGCGUUGUCCGGAUUUAUUGGGCGUAAAGGGCUCGUAGGUGGUUGAUCGCGUCGGAAGUGUAAUCUUGGGGCUUAACCCUGAGCGUGCUUUCGAUACGGGUUGACUUGAGGAAGGUAGGGGAGAAUGGAAUUCCUGGUGGAGCGGUGGAAUGCGCAGAUAUCAGGAGGAACACCAGUGGCGAAGGCGGUUCUCUGGGCCUUUCCUGACGCUGAGGAGCGAAAGCGUGGGGAGCGAACAGGCUUAGAUACCCUGGUAGUCCACGCUGUAAACGGUGGGUACUAGGUGUGGGGUCCAUUCCACGGGUUCCGUGCCGUAGCUAACGCUUUAAGUACCCCGCCUGGGGAGUACGGCCGCAAGGCUAAAACUCAAAGGAAUUGACGGGGCCCCGCACAAGCGGCGGAGCAUGCGGAUUAAUUCGAUGCAACGCGUAGAACCUUACCUGGGUUUGACAUGGAUCGGGAGUGCUCAGAGAUGGGUGUGCCUCUUUUGGGGUCGGUUCACAGGUGGUGCAUGGCUGUCGUCAGCUCGUGUCGUGAGAUGUUGGGUUAAGUCCCGCAACGAGCGCAACCCUUGUUCACUGUUGCCAGCACGUUAUGGUGGGGACUCAGUGGAGACCGCCGGGGUCAACUCGGAGGAAGGUGGGGAUGACGUCAAGUCAUCAUGCCCCUUAUGUCCAGGGCUUCACGCAUGCUACAAUGGCUGGUACAGAGAGUGGCGAGCCUGUGAGGGUGAGCGAAUCUCGGAAAGUCGGUCUCAGUUCGGAUUGGGGUCUGCAACUCGACCUCAUGAAGUCGGAGUCGCUAGUAAUCGCAGAUCAGCAACGCUGCGGUGAAUACGUUCCCGGGGCU
rnacentral:rRNA from 1 species